UUUUAGGUGCUUGCACUUGAAAGAUUUAACAUUGAGACGAGUGGCGAACUGGUGAGUAACACGUGGGUAACCUGCCCUUGAAGUAGGGGAUAACACUUGGAAACAGGUGCUAAUACCGUAUAACAACCAAAACCACCUGGUUUUGGUUUAAAAGACGGCUUCGGCUGUCACUUUAGGAUGGACCCGCGGCGUAUUAGCUUGUUGGUAAGGUAACGGCCUACCAAGGCGAUGAUACGUAGCCGACCUGAGAGGGUAAUCGGCCACAUUGGGACUGAGACACGGCCCAAACUCCUACGGGAGGCAGCAGUAGGGAAUCUUCCACAAUGGGACGAAAGUCUGAUGGAGCAACGCCGCGUGAGUGAUGAAGGGUUUCGGCUCGUAAAACUCUGUUGUUGGAGAAGAACAGGUGUCAGAGUAACUGUUGACAUCUUGACGGUAUCCAACCAGAAAGCCACGGCUAACUACGUGCCAGCAGCCGCGGUAAUACGUAGGUGGCAAGCGUUGUCCGGAUUUAUUGGGCGUAAAGCGAGCGCAGGCGGUUUUUUAGGUC
rnacentral:rRNA from 1 species